rnacentral:rRNA from 1 species
CCAAUAGCGUAUAUUACAGUUGUUGCAGUUAAAAAGCUCGUAGUUGAAUUUUAGGCCUGGCCGGGCGGUCCGUCUUUGACGAGUACUGUCUUGUUGUCGGGUCUUCCUUCUGGUGAACCAGUAUGUCCUUUAUUGGGUGUGUUGGGGAGCCAGGACCAUUACCUUGAAAAAAUUAGAGUGUUUAAAGCGGGCUAUUGCUUGAAUAGAUUAGCAUGGAAUAAUAGAAUAGGACGUUGUGGUUCUAUUUUGUUGGUUUCUAGGACCACCGUAAUGAUUAAUAGGGAUAGUUGGGGGCAUUAGUAUUCAAUUGUCAGAGGUGAAAUUCUUGGAUUUAUUGAAGACUAACUAUUGCGAAAGCAUUUGCCAAGGAUGUUUUCAUUAAUCAAGAACGAAAGUUAGGGGAUCGAAGACGAUCAGAUACCGUCGUAGUCUUAACCAUAAACUAUGCCGACUAGGAACCGGGCGACGUUAUUUUCACGACUCGCUCGGCGCCUUAUG